rnacentral:rRNA from 1 species
GCAGUCGACGAGAAGGGUGACUUCGGUUGCCUGGACAGUGGCGGACGGGUGAGUAACGCGUGGGUACUUGCCUCCCAGUACGGGACAACCUCGGGAAACUGGGGCUAAUACCGUAUAUACCGGCCUUGGUGGUUCUUGGUCGGGAAAGAUUUAUCGCUGGGAGAUAGACCCGCGUCCGAUUAGCUAGUUGGUGUGGUAACGGCGCACCAAGGCAUCGAUCGGUAGCUGGUUUGAGAGGAUGAUCAGCCACACUGGGGCUGAGACACGGCCCAGACUCCUACGGGAGGCAGCAGUGGGGAAUAUUGGACAAUGGGCGCAAGCCUGAUCCAGCCAUGCCGCGUGAGUGAAGAAGGCCCUAGGGUUGUAAAACUCUUUCACCGAUGAAGAUAAUGACGGUAGUCGGAGAAGAAGCCCCGGCUAACUCCGUGCCAGCAGCCGCGGUAAUACGGAGGGGGCUAACGUUGUUCGGAUUUACUGGGCGUAAAGCGCGCGUAGGCGGUUUGUUAAGUUGGGCGUGAAAGCCCGGGGCUCAACCCCGGAACUGCGUUCGAAACUGGCAAGCUAGAGUUCGGGA